rnacentral:rRNA from 1 species
GGGACGGAGAAGGUUAACUCAGCCAACUGUUGGAUAUGUUGGUUCAAGCUUGUAGUCGUGCCUGGUAGGCAAAUCCGCCGGGCUUAGAUGAGGAGUGAUAACGAGGCUGCUUGCAGCCGAAGUGAGUGAUACCCUGCUUCCAGGAAAAGCCACUAAGCUUCAGCUAUACACGACCGUACCGCAAACCGACACUGGUGCGCGAGAUGAGUAUUCUAAGGCGCUUGAGAGAACUCAGGAGAAGGAACUCGGCAAAUUGACACCGUAACUUCGGAAGAAGGUGUGCCUUUAGUAGGUGAAGGGAUUUACUCCUGGAGCCCAAUGAGGUUGCAAAAAAUCGGUGGCUGCGACUGUUUAUUAAAAACACAGCACUCUGCAAACACGAAAGUGGACGUAUAGGGUGUGACGCCUGCCCGGUGCUGGAAGAUUAAAUGAUGGGGUGCAAGCUCUUGAUUGAAGUCCCAGUAAACGGCGGCCGUAACGAUAACGGUCCUAAGGUAGCGAAAUUCCUUGUCGGGUAAGUUCCGACCUGCACGAAUGGCGUAACGAUGGCCACACUGUCUCCUCCUGAGACUCAGCGAAGUUGAAAUGUUUGUGAUGAUGCAAUCUCCCCGCGGAAAGACGGAAAGACCCCAUGAACCUUUACUGUAGCUUUGUAUUGGACUUUGAACAGAUCUGUGUAGGAUAGGUGGGAGGCUUUGAAGUAGGGUCGCUAGAUCUUAUGGAGCCAACGUUGAAAUACCACCCUGGUGUGUUUGAGGUUCUAACCUAGGUCCAUUAUCUGGAUCGGGGACAGUGCAUGGUAGGCAGUUUGACUGGGGCGGUCUCCUCCCAAAGCGUAACGGAGGAGUUCGAAGGUACGCUAGUUACGGUCGGACAUCGUGACGAUAGUGCAAUGGCAUAAGCGUGCUUAACUGCGAGACUGACAAGUCGAGCAGAUGCGAAAGCAGGACAUAGUGAUCCGGUGGUUCUGUAUGGAAGGGCCAUCGCUCAACGGAUAAAAGGUACUCUGGGGAUAACAGGCUGAUACCGCCCAAGAGUUCAUAUCGACGGCGGUGUUUGGCACCUCGAUGUCGGCUCAUCUCAUCCUGGGGCUGUAGCCGGUCCCAAGGGUAUGGCUGUUCGCCAUUUAAAGAGGUACGUGAGCUGGGUUUAAAACGUCGUGAGACAGUUUGGUCCCUAUCUUCCGUGGGCGCUGCAGAUUUGAGAAAGCCUGCUCCUAGUACGAGAGGACCGGAGUGGACACACCUCUGGUGUAUCGGUUGUCACGCCAGUGGCAUUGCCGAGUAGCUAAGUGUGGAAGAGAUAACCGCUGAAAGCAUCUAAGCGGGAAACUCGUUUCAAGAUGAGAUCUGCCGGGGCCUUGAGCCCCCUAAAGAGUCGUUCAAGACCAGGACGUUGAUAGGUCGGGUGUGGAAGCGCAGUAAUGCGUUAAGCUAACCGAUACUAAUUGCUCGUGCGGCU